rnacentral:rRNA from 1 species
CAGCCGCCGCGGUAAUACGAAGGGUGCAAGCGUUAAUCGGAAUUACUGGGCGUAAAGCGUGCGCAGGCGGUUUUUUAAGUCUGUUGUGAAAUCCCCGGGCUCAACCUGGGAAUGGCAAUGGAUACUGGCAAGCUAGAGUGUGUCAGAGGAUGGUGGAAUUCCCGGUGUAGCGGUGAAAUGCGUAGAGAUCGGGAGGAACAUCAGUGGCGAAGGCGGCCAUCUGGGACAACACUGACGCUGAGGCACGAAAGCGUGGGGAGCAAACAGGAUUAGAUACCCGCGUAGUCCCUGUCUCUUAUAC